rnacentral:rRNA from 1 species
UUCCAGACUCCUACGGGAGGCAGCAGUGAGGAAUAUUGGUCAAUGGCCGGGAGGCUGAACCAGCCAAGUCGCGUGAGGGAAGACGGCCCUACGGGUUGUAAACCUCUUUUGUCAGGGAGCAAGGUGCAGGUCGGGACCUGCUGUGAGAGUACCUGAAGAAAAAGCAUCGGCUAACUCCGUGCCAGCAGCCGCGGUAAUACGGAGGAUGCGAGCGUUAUCCGGAUUUAUUGGGUUUAAAGGGUGCGCAGGCGGCACGGCAAGCCGGCGGUCAAAUCGCGGGGCUCAACCCCGCCCAGCCGUCGGAACUGCCGGGCUAGAGUGGGCGAGAAGUGCGCGGAAUGCGUGGUGUAGCGGUGAAAUGCAUAGAUAUCACGCAGAACUCCGAUUGCGAAGGCAGCGCACCGGCGCCCUACUGACGCUCAGGCACGAAAGCGUGGGUAUCGAACAGGAUUAGAUACCCCCGUAAU